GAUGGGCCCUACAAGGUUACUGACGUCAACCAAACUCCGAAUGCCGGUAAGUGAGAGCAUGGCAGUGAGACUGCGGGCGAUAAGGUUCGUGGUCGAGAGGGAAACAGCCCAGACCACCGGCUAAGGCCCCCAAGCGUGUGCUAAGUGGGAAAGGAUGUGGAGUUGCACAGACAACCAGGAGGUUGGCUUAGAAGCAGCCACCCUUGAAAGAGUGCGUAAUAGCUCACUGGUCAAGUGAUUCUGCGCCGACAAUUCAGCGGGGCUCAAGCACACCGCCGAAGCCGUGGCAUCCGCGCACACCCCAGCAUCCCCUCGAGGGGUGUUCAGGGCGCGGGUGGGUAGGGGAGCGUCGUGUGGGAGGUGAAGCUGCGGGGUGACCCAGUGGUGGAUCCCACACGAGUGAGAAUGCAGGCAUGAGUAGCGAAUGACGGGUGAGAAACCCGUCCGCCGAAUGACCAAGGGUUCCAGGGCCAGGUUAAUCCGCCCUGGGUAAGUCGGGACCUAAGGCGAGGCCGACAGGCGUAGUCGAUGGACAACGGGUUGAUAUUCCCGUACCGGCGAAGGACCGACCAUG
rnacentral:ncRNA from 1 species